GGUAAGGUGGCCGAGAGCUUAGGUGGUGGACUGUAAAUCUUCAAACAAAGGUUAAAAUCCUUUCCUUACC
rnacentral:tRNA from 1 species